ensembl:lncRNA
GCAGUAGUAGCUAUUGUUCCUGGAGCAGUUGUUGUGGUUCCUGCUGCAGUUGUUGUGGUUCCUGCACCGGUUGUUGUGGUUCCUGCACCGGUUGUUGUGGUUGUUGUGGUUCCUGCUGCAGUUGUUGUGGUUCCUGCAGCAGUUGUUGUGGUUCCUGCACCGGUUGUUGUGGUUCCUGCCCCAGUUGUUGUGGUUCCUGCCCCAGUUGCUGUGGUUCCUGCACCGGUUGUUGUGGUUCCUGCCGCAGUUGUUGUGGUUUCUGAACCAGUUGUUGUGGUUCCUGCCCCAGUUGCUGUGGUUCCUGCCCCAGUUGUUGUGGUUCCUGCCGCAGUUGUUGUGGUUUCUGCACCGGUUGUUGUGGUUCCUGCACCGGUUGUUGUGGUUCCUGCAGCAGUUGUUGUGGUUGUUGCAGCAGUUGCUGUGGUUGUUGCUGCAGUUGUUGUAGUUACUGCUGCAGCUGUUGUUGAUUCAGCAGUUGUUGUGGUUGUUGCUGCAGUUGUUGUAGUUACUGCUGCAGUUGUUGUGGUUCCUGCACCGGUUGUUGUGGUUCCUGCAGCAGUUGUUGUGGUUGUUGCAGCAGUUGCUGUGGUUGUUGCUGCAGUUGUUGUAGUUACUGCUGCAGCUGUUGUUGAUUCAGCAGUUGUUGUGGUUGUUGCUGCAGUUGUUGUAGUUACUGCUGCAGUUGUUGUGGUUCCCGCACCGGUUGUUGUGGUUCCUGCAGCAGUUGUUGUGGUUGUUGCUGCAGUUGUUGUAGUUACUGCUGCAGCUGUUGUUGAUUCAGCAGUUGUCGUGGUUGUUGCUGCAGUUGUUGUAGUUACUGCUGCAGUUGUUGAGGUUCCAGUAGUUGUUGUUGAUUCCGCAGUUGUUGUUGUUGGUUCAGCAGUUGUUGUUGAUGUUGUAUUCUCAGCACUUAUAGUUACAGGUACAGUAACAAGCAGUAUGGCCACUAUUUGUAAAGAGCAAAAGGAUUAUUGCAUGCAAAUCUAUAUCUAAGAGCUCUAUAUUUUAUGAUUAUAUUAUUAAUGUCAUACUUACGUGUAAUUAUCAGUAAUUUUGACGUAAACCCCAUUGUGUCUCUUCUUGAACCUAUAAUUUGUGACAGUACAAUGACUUUUUCUGGAUCACAGGAUGUAAACAGAACCCUAUAUCAACUUAAUGUUGACUUUGUCUCUUGAUUUUGUGUUUCAUAAUUAUUAAAUCUGUUUUUCUCACUCUUGAAUGUGCAGCUUCUCCUCUGUUUUGGAAUCAUUUCGCAAUUUCAAAUACAGUCUAAACAACAUCAUUGUAAAACAACAAGCAUUGUUCUCUUCAGUGUAUUAUCUGUGCCUGGAUUUGCACUGAUAGCUCAUGAAUGCAUUAUUUUCUAUUUUUGAAUUUUGCUUUGCUGCAAUGGGUAGGCGACCUGUCCAGGCGUACCCUGCCUCUCGCCCAUAGCCAGCAGGGAUACGCUCCAGCACCCCCGCGACCCCGCAUAUGGUAUUAAGUGGUAUGGAAAAUGGAUGGAUGGAUGGAAUUUUGCUUUGUUGUGUAAAAAACUAAAAACAUAAAUAAUGAGGAAGAGGUAAUCAGUGGAAAAAUGACUGUAUUUAUACAUGUUACUUAAUCAUUACUUUCUUGGUUCAGUGUUUUCAAAAAUUAUAAGAAAUUUAAAUUAAUAAAUAUAUUUUUAAAACCUAUUAUCA